rnacentral:lncRNA from 1 species
GUCUAUUUCCCCAUUCUUUGGAUUUGGUCUGUCCUUGGCCAUAAUUAAUGUGGUUGACAUGAUGUUGUGUGAGUUCUAAGCCUGCUCCGUGAGAUGGGCUGCACAUUCCACUUGCUGUCUUCAAUGUGGCCACUGUGUAAGGAAGCCCCUGUGAGCCUACCGAGGAGGACCCUGGGGAGCAGAGCUAAGUCAGCACCAGCUGAGUCUCUAGACAGUGCUACAAGAACUGUUGGGAUCUGGGAAAAUGGUCCCUCCACUUGGGCUCUGACUUCCUUGGAUGAUGGCAAUUGAAUAUGAAUUGGAUUGAAUAUGAAUUGGUUUGUGGAGAUUGAGUGCUGGAUCCCCACCUUCUUGUAAUUUCCCCAAUAUUUUGCUUGUGGAAGAAUCUGAGAGAAAUACCAGGUCAGUAAUUAUA